rnacentral:tRNA from 1 species
GCCUGGGUGGCUCAGUCGGUUAAGCGUCUGACUUUGGCUCAGGUCUUGACGUCCCAGUUCGUGGGUUCGAGCCCAACGUCAGGCU